rnacentral:lncRNA from 1 species
GACAACGUCGGUGACAUUGCCGGCAUGGGCGCUGACCUGUUCGGCAGCUUCGCUGAGUCCACCUGCGCCGCGCUGGUCAUCUCCGCCGUGUCCAGCCUGGGCAAGGAGCACGACUACGCCGGCAUGAUGUUCCCCCUGCUCAUCUCCGCCACCGGUGAGUUCUUGGGAAGGAGGCGGCGGCGAGGGCAUGGGCACGGAGUGUGAGGGCGGGGAAAGGCUGGGGUAUGCGCUGCUACCAGGGAGGCUUGCAAUGCUUGGACUUCGGAGGGCGACGAGGGCAGCUGGGUAUGGCUAACGGUUAGGGAGAUGCGCAGCAAAGGAACACCUCUAUGUCAGGAGACAAACCGUCGCGGUCGCCACAGCUGGGGGAUAUUGCCGCAGCAGGGGGGAGUGGCAGUGCUAAGAGAUGGAAAAGGAAGGUGCAGGCUGGUUGAAGCUCGGAGGUCAGUGGCGCAGCGCCGCAAGGCAGAGGCUGGGACAGGUCUCGGCGGCAUCGCAACCCACAGUCUCAACCCGCCCCACUAUCGCUGUCGUUGCUAACCACACCCUCGCCCGCAUCACGACAGGCAUCUUUGUGUGCCUGAUCACCACCUUCCUGGCCACCGACCUGAAGCCCGCCAAGGUGAUUGCCGAGAUCGAGCACACGCUCAAGAUGCAGCUCAUCAUCUCCACCCUGCUCAUGACCCCCGUGGCUCUGGGCGUGGCGCUGUGGUCGCUGCCGCCCGAGUUCACCCUGUCGGUGCCCUCGUCCAGCCCCGACAAGCCCUUCGAUGAGAAGGUAGGAAGGAGUUUGAUAACGUAUCGCAUUGUGGGCGGCGGGUUGGGGCGCAGGGAAACAGACAAACAGUGAAGGCGGUCCCGCGACUGACUGGUGUGCAAUGCGCAAUCCGACCCAUCCCAACAGGUCGUCAAGAGCUGGUACAUGUUCGUGUGCAUCAGCACCGGCCUGUGGGGCGGCCUGCUGGUGGGCCUGCAGACCGAGUACUUCACCUCCAACC